UAGGUUGAAGUUCGCUGAUUUGAACAGUUAGUUGUUAACUAAAAUUUCGCGGGAUCAAGGCCCGUUAACCUAGG
rnacentral:tRNA from 1 species